rnacentral:rRNA from 1 species
AUUGAACGCUGGCGGCAGGCUUAACACAUGCAAGUCGAGCGGAGAUGAGGUGCUUGCACCUUAUCUUAGCGGCGGACGGGUGAGUAAUGCUAGGAAUCUGCCUAUUAGUGGGGGACAACAUUCCGAAAGGAAUGCUAAUACCGCAUACGCCCUACGGGGGAAAGCAGGGGAUCUUCGGACCUUGCGCUAAUAGAUGAGCCUAAGUCGGAUUAGCUAGUUGGUGGGGUAAAGGCCUACCAAGGCGACGAUCUGUAGCGGGUCUGAGAGGAUGAUCCGCCACACGGGGACUGAGACACGGCCCAGACUCCUACGGGAGGCAGCAGUGGGGAAUAUUGGACAAUGGGCGGAAGCCUGAUCCAGCCAUGCCGCGUGUGUGAAGAAGGCCUUUUGGUUGUAAAGCACUUUAAGCGAGGAGGAGGCUACCUGGAUUAAUACUCUAGGAUAGUGGACGUUACUCGCAGAAUAAGCACCGGCUAACUCUGUGCCAGCCGCCGCCGUAAAAC